rnacentral:snRNA from 1 species
AUUCACUGGGCAGAAAAUAUACUAAAAUUGGAACGAUACGGAGAAUUAGCAUGCCCCCUGCGGAAGGACGAGCAUAUGGUAUUGCAAACUUAAUUUUA